CUCCAAGAGAAAUUUGGGUGCUUUUUCCAACUCAAAUUAUAUGUUUUCCCAAAUGUUUUGUUUUUUGCUGUCGCUGUCCCCAUUGAGCAAAAUCUGUCUGCUCUACUCAUUGUACAAAGAUUGGACAUUCUGAUAUUACAUGUUCUGCUCCACAGUCCUCACAACUGGCCUUCUUCGACUGUGCGACAUUAGCUGAUUUUGACAUGUUUUUCACCUUGUGAAAUAAUGAAUCAAUUUUGGCAGACACAGCAGAAUAAACGUCUACUUCAUAAACUCCUGGUGUCCUCUUCUGAACUGCUUGUUCCGAUAUUGAUAUAGCUGAAGUAGUGGCCAUAGUCUCAAAAAGUUUCAGGGCUUCAUCAAUUGUCUUUGUGGAUAGUGAUCCAUUUGAUGACGAGUCGACCAUGCUCUUGAAGCCUGGAAGCAAUCCCACAUAAAAGUAUUGGACCUUGAGUCCCUUGCUAAUCCCAUGAUGUGGACACUUCCGCAGCAUAUUCUUAAACUUAUUCCAGGCUUUAUCAAAGUUCUCGGAGUUGCCUUGACGAAAGACAGAUAUGUCAUACUUGAGCUUUGCAAUCUUGGCGAACGGGAAGAACUUGGUGCAGAAUUUUUGAGUUAGAUCAUUCCAUGUAGUGAUGCUUGCAAUUGGUUGCUAAUCUAGUCAUUUGAUUGCCUUGUGGCGCAGUGUAUGUGGGAACAACCUUAAUCUGAUUGCAUCGUCUGAGAUUCCUUGAUAUCUAAAGUGAUGGCACAUCUCUAAGAAGCGAGAGACGUGAGUAUGUGGAUUCUCUUUAGUUCUUCCAUACAAUUGAUGCCCAUUUUGAAAUAGUUGUAUCAGGUUGGUCUUCAAUUGGAAGUUAGGCUGUCCAAACGGUGGAUACACG
rnacentral:lncRNA from 1 species